GAGGGUGCGAGCGUUAAUCGGAAUUACUGGGCGUAAAGAGUGCGCAGGUUGUAUGAUAAGUCUGAUGUGAAAUGCUAGGGCUCAACCUUAGUUUUGCGUUAGAAACUGUCAAGCUAGAGUAUAGUAGAGGAUGGAGGAAUUUCCGGUGUAGCGGUGAAAUGCGUAGAUAUCGGAAGGAACACCAGUGGCGAAGGCGUCCAUCUAGACUGAUACUGACACUGAGGCACGAAAGCGUGGGGGUAGCGAACAGGAUUAGAUACCCUGGUAGUCCACGCUGUAAACGAUGAGGACUAGCUGUUAGGAGCGUAAGAGCUUUUAGUGGCGCAGCAAACGCGAUAAGUUCUCCGCCUGGGGAGUACGGCCGCAAGGUUA
rnacentral:rRNA from 1 species